rnacentral:rRNA from 1 species
AUUGAACGCUGGCGGUAGGCCUAACACAUGCAAGUCGAACGCGAAAGUCCUUCGGGAUGAGUAGAGUGGCGGACGGGUGAGUAACGCGUAGGAAUCUAUCCUGUAGUGGGGGAUAACGUUUCGAAAGGAACGCUAAUACCGCAUACGCCCUACGGGGAAAGGACGGGGGAGUCUUCGGACCUCGUGCUAGAGGAGGAGCCUGCGUCGGAUUAGCUAGUUGGUGAGGUAAAGGACUCACCAAGGCGACGAUCCGUAGCUGGUCUGAGAGGAUGAUCAGCCACACCGGAACUGAGACACGGUCCGGACUCCUACGGGAGGCAGCAGUGGGGAAUAUUGCGCAAUGGGCGAAAGCCUGACGCAGCCAUACCGCGUGUGUGAAGAAGGCC